rnacentral:rRNA from 1 species
GCAACAGCGAUAAGGGAACCUCGAGUGCCAGGUUACAAAUCUGGCUGUCGAGAUGCCUAAAAAGCAUUUCAUAGCAAGGGCCGGGCAAGACCGGUGCCAGCCGCCGCGGUAACACCGGCGGCUCGAGUGGUAACCGUUAUUAUUGGGUCUAAAGGGUCUGUAGCCGGCCGGAUAAGUCUCUUGAGAAAUCUGGCAGCUUAACUGUCAGGCUUUCAGGAGAUACUGUCUGGCUCGAGGCCGGGAGAGGUGAGAGGUACUUCAGGGGUAGGGGUGAAAUCUUGUAAUCCUUGAAGGACCACCAGUGGCGAAGGCGUCUCACUAGAACGGACCUGACGGCAAGGGACGAAAGCUAGGGGCACGAACCGGAUUAGAUACCCGGGUAGUCCUAGCCGUAAACGAUACUCGCUAGGUGUCGGCCACGGUGCGACCGUUGUCGGUGCCGUAGGGAAGCCGUGAAGCGAGC